rnacentral:rRNA from 1 species
GUAAUCCUACGGGGGGCAGCAGUGGGGAAUAUUGCACAAUGGGGGAAACCCUGAUGCAGCGACGCCGCGUGAGUGAAGAAGUAUUUCGGUAUGCAAAGCUCUAUCAGCAGGGAAGAAAAUGACGGUACCUGAUUAAGAAGCCCCGGCUAACUACGUGCCAGCAGCCGCGGUAAUACGUAGGGGGCAAGCGUUAUCCGGAUUUACUGGGUGUAAAGGGAGCGUAGACGGCAGCACAAGUCUGGAGUGAAAUGCCGGGGCUU